rnacentral:lncRNA from 10 species
AUGAGCAAAGGAGAUCCUCAGAAACCUAGAGGCAAAAUGUCAUCAUAUGCAUUUUUCGUGCAAAACUUGUCGGGAGGAACAUAAGCACCCAGAGGCUUCAGUCAGCUUCUCAGAAUUUUCUAAGAGUGCUCAGAGAGGUAGAAAACUGUAUCUGCUAAAGAGAAAGGAAAAUUUGAAGACAUGGCAAAGGUGGACAAGGCCCGUUAUAAAAAAGAAAUGAAAACCUAUGUCCCCCGUAAAGGGGAGAUAAAAAGAAGUUCAAAGAUCCCAGUGCAUCCAAAAGGCCUCCUGUAGCCUUUUUGUCUUUCUGUUCUGAGUAUUGCCCAAAAAUCAAAGAACACCCAGGCCUAUUCAUUGGUGAUGUUGCAAAGAAAUUGGGAGAGAUGUGGAAUAACACUGCUGCAGUCGGGCAUGUAGCCUUAUGAAAAGAAGGCUGAGAAGCUAAAGGAAAAAUAGGAAAUGGAAAUUGUUGCAUAUCAAGCUAAAGGAAAGCCUGAUAUAGCAAAAAAGGGAGUCGUCAAGGCUGAAAAAACGAAAGAGAAAGAAGGAAGAGGAGAAAGAUGAGGAAGAUGAGGAGGAGGAAGAUGAAGAUGAUUAA